AGCGGCGGACGGGUGAGUAACGCGUGGGUAACCUGCCUCAUACAGGGGGAUAACAGUUAGAAAUGACUGCUAAUACCGCAUAAGACCACAGCACCGCAUGGUGCGGGGGUAAAAACUCCGGUGGUAUGAGAUGGACCCGCGUCUGAUUAGCUAGUUGGUAAGGUAACGGCUUACCAAGGCGACGAUCAGUAGCCGACCUGAGAGGGCGACCGGCCACAUUGGGACUGAGACACGGCCCAA
rnacentral:rRNA from 1 species